rnacentral:lncRNA from 1 species
AAACUUUAGCUAUACUCAACGUACUUGGCUCUUUGAGAGAUGAUAUUAGUGGCAUCCGUGAUGAAGUUCGAGGCUUAGAUGCUAGGAUGUCUACAUUGGAGAAACAUAUCGCUUAUCUUAUGCUUCAAUUCUCUCCACCACAGCCUCCUCAAUAUAGCUAGGACUCAUUUUGCAUUCAUGGAUUUUCAUGUUUUAUUUGGAUGUUUUACAUUGUUUUCCUAUCUCUAUGUUUGUUGCACUUUAAUGAUUACUUAGUAUGCUUAGGUGCUGGGAUGUCUACAUUGGAGGAACAUAUCGUUAAUCUUAUGUUUCAAUUCCCUCCACCACAGCCUCCUCAAGAUAGCUAGGACUCAUUUUGCAUUCAUGGAUUUUCAUGGUUUUUUUGGAUGUUUU